CGAACGGGUGAGUAAUGCGUGACCAACCUGCCCCAUGCUCCAGAAUAGCUCUUGGAAACGGGUGGUAAUGCUGGAUGCUCCAACUUGACGCAUGUCUUGUUGGGAAAGUGUUUAGUGGCAUGGGAUGGGGUCGCGUCCUAUCAGCUUGUAGGCGGGGUAAUGGCCCACCUAGGCUUCGAUCAGUAGGGGUUCUGAGAGGAAGGUCCCCCACAUUGGAACUGAGACACGGUCCAAACUCCUACGGGAGGCAGCAGGC
rnacentral:rRNA from 1 species